CCAGCAAGUUAGCGUGCUGUACAAUGUAAGUGUAGACAAGCCUUGGUUAGGACGCUGAGGUGCUGCCGUACUACAAAAUAAUAAUAAUAGAUGUGUCUUCCUGCCUCUCCCAUGUGCUGUGACUGGAAUGUAUGUGCUAAGUCUGUAUCUCUUUUAUUUUUAGGAGAGAAUUUACUACUCAGAAUGAUAGAAAGUCAAAUGAAAGGCUUUUACUAGGUGCUGUUGCACCGAGAGCUUGUCUACAAAAUGUCAGGCAGACAGCAAUUCAUACUGCCAAGUUAUAGAUUUUUUUUUCAUUAAAACCUGCCUGGUUUUCUGCCAUGCUGACACAGCCUCCGAGGGAGGGAAUGUGCUGAUGGAGUACAUCCAGGCUCUCCAAGAUGGCUGAGGAUGGAAUACAACAUUUAACACAGAGUGGAGAAGCUUCAGCUUUCCCAGGUGGGAUUCUUAACUCGCCUCCGCAGCUGUGAGCUGAUCAUUCAUCCACUACAAUCUAUUUUUGCUUCAAAGCUGGGAUAUCCAAAAAUCAGCUACGGCCAUGCACACGAGUUGAACUUCUAUUCAGUGGAUGACAUUAAAGCUGCAAAGCUCUACUUGAUUUGAAGAUGAUCCUUACCAGAGGGAGGAAAUAACAGGAGCAUUCAAGCUUCUGCAACGACCAGACCUGUCUCUUAUUCCUGACGUAACAUCUCAGAUCAGCCAACACGUCAGAGGGCAACGUUCUCUGUUUAAAAAUUGACCAUAAGGCUCAAAGUACAAUCCAGAAAUGAAACCUCUCUUUGUCCAAAUGUUUCAUGGAAAUUCUUACUCAGCAAAUAUCUCCUCUCAACCUUAAUCUCUGCGGCUAUGAGAUUAGUGAUUGGCAGGCAAGAUCAGCAUUAAUUUUGGGGCACUGGCUCUAUGAUAGGAAAGGAAAUAGGGUCCAGUGGUUGGGGAUCUAGUCUGGGAGUUGAGUCCCAGCUUCAGUGUUUAUUCCACCUUACUCUCUAUAACCUUGGGCAGAUCACUCCGUCUCUCUGUGCUUUGGGGGCUCAUCUUUAAAAUGGGGAUAAUAAUACUGUGGGUCUUGUGAAGAUAAACCCAUUAAAGAUUGCGAGGGGCUCAGAGACUGGGAUAAUGAGGGCCAUAGUAGUACCUAAAAUAGGUAAUAUAAUGGGGGAAAGGAGCGUUAGAGGAAAUGAGGGAACAAAACCCAGCAAAAAGCAUCUGAACUUCAUCUGUCUUAAGGUUUUCUAUUGCCCCCCAUCCCCCAAUCACUAUAGCUUCUUAAAUGCUGCAUAGGUCUUUUGGACCUGCACUGCAACAACUAUAGUAAACUUCAGAGGAUUCUGCUCUUUGCCUGUCCCAAGGUUAAGGACAGUUGGCUUGGGUGUGUCUGGAGUUUUAAUAAGAGAGAAAACUUGCUGUUGUUGUGAGAAACCUGUGUCAUUGAGGAUCCUGCAAUGUGUUUUGAUGUCCUCUGAUAGCUCAAUCCAUGGUCAAGCCCCCAGGGACAAGAAUGCUUUUGCUUUUCCCCUCACACUCCUUGUCCUGGGUUUCGUCAGCUGCUUUGUCCCAGAUGAAGUACUUUGGUCUUGGAUGGCGAUUUGGUCAUUGAUGUAGCUGGGUUCUGACCCACUGACGGUUUUGUAAAUCAGACUCAUUGCCUUGAACUGUCAGCAGAAACUGAUUGGGAGCCAGUAGGGGGGGAUUGGUGCACAGGGGUGAUGUGCUGUCAGGGGCUGGUCUCACUGAGGGGUCGGGCUGCUGUAUUCCGCACAAACUGGAGCCUAUGCAUUGCUUCCACUUUCAGCCCCAGAUAGAGUAAGUUACAGAAAUCCAGUCGGGGUAAUAAAUGCAUGGAUCAUUGGGGAGGCCAGAAGAUCCUCCUCUGAGGGGAAGGGCAAUGUCCCCGCAAGCUGCCACUGGAAGGUUUUCCUUGACAUUGUCACUGCCUGGUCAACCAGGGUUAGUGAUGAGUCCAGCAGGACUUCAAGGCUUUGCACCACUGUAAUAAAUAGGGGGCAGAUGCCUUUAGUGGGAGGGGAGGUCAGGGUCCUGACUCAUGCCAGGAAACAUUUUCCCCUCCCAACCAGCGUCACUUUGGUCUUGCUUGAGUUGAGUUUGAGCCAGCUUCUUUUUUUCCAGACACUGAUCUCCUCUAGGCACUCUGACACCCUUGCAAUGGUCUUGGCUGCAUCUGCAGAAAAUGAGUUACACAGCUGGGUAUCAUGAGUGCAUUGCUGGCAGUGGAACCCACAGCAUCACACCACCUCUCCAGCCGCGGCUUGUAAAUACUGCAAAUGACUAGGCAGGAUAAUCCUCAUGGGACUCUGCAGGGCAGGGCUUUUGGGGAAGAACUGCGGUUGCCCCCCCCCCCCACCACUCUCUGGGUCCUCUUGUAGUGUUGUGCUGACUACUCCAGCAGUAGAAGGUGGUCAGCAGUACCUAUAGAUCACUCCUCUAACCAGUGCCACGACUAUAAAAGGAGACUGUUGAGUAGGACAUUAACAAUAGACUAGCUUGGGGGAGGGGAGAGGUGGGAGAGCCAAGCUGACCCUUGUGGAAAGGCCUGAGCAAAGUUAAUACACCUUUACAGCACUUGGUCUCUUGCACAGCAAUGAACAGCACUAAUCACAGGGCUGGGUACAAUUAUUAUAAUAUGGGAUUCAGGCCAUAACUAUAAAAUAAGACUGACGUAAGGGCUGCAGUUACUACAUGGGCAUUUUUGUCACCCUCUAGAAAUCAUCCCAGAAAGGGUGUUUUCAUCCCUCAUUUCCCUCCCUAGCACCUCUAAUGGGAUAGAUUUCCCUGCAGGCUAAUGGUUAUUCUCUUGCCUCUCUUUUCAUAAUUAUUUGGACAACGCCCCAUAACUGAGUGCAAAGAUAUUUUCAAACUGGUUCAGUUGCCACUUGAGGAGGGGAAAGAGGUGAAAAAUACGAUCACUUUGUGGAAGGCUCAUGACUCAUUAGCAGCCGGCAGCACAAAGUAUAAAAAAAAAGAAAAAAAAGCCCUAAUUAGGGAUUAGCUUUUCCCCUGCAAAGUUCAGUUAUUUUUAAAUUGGUCACAUGCACUUUUCCUGACAAACACCACAUUUGUUCUGCUUGUAUACCCCAGAUCUGUGCAAGGUGGGGUUGGUGGAGCUUGUUCCCAUGGGCCCACAGCAAAAGCUUUGCAGGUCGAGUUCCUCACAGCUGCUUCUCUCAGAUGUGAAUUUCACAUAUAAUCAUUGUUUCCUUUGGGACUGGGCUGCUCUUGGAGGGGCCAGGUUAGCCAGGAAAUCCAUCCUUCUGGAGCCAUGUUGCAGUCCUAGGGGAAUAGUGAUGACUAUGUCAAGGUUGCCACUCAUACCACAGUAGUUAAGGUGGAACAAAUUGCAACUGUUGCAGGGGUCAGUAACUAGGCCACAGACCUUUUGGUGUAAGGGAAGGAGAGAUGAAAGGGGAUGGGUGCAGUAUUAGACCCUACUGAAGGGUGAGGGUAAAGACACCAUAGCCCCUAGAUAACAUUAAACAUACCAUGGAGUAAACAGGCAAGCUGAGGAAAGGGCCAAAACCAGGAGCAAUCGGAAAAUAUAGUUUACUUCAGUCAUAGUUUAGAUCUAAGUAAAGAAGUUUAAGAGGAGGGACGGUGUGGAUGAAAGAAAAUUGAAGUUUGGGGAAUCAGAGCCCUGCUCAUGGGGAAAUCCAGGCUACACAGUAUCCACAUUUCCAGUCCAGAAGCCUUUUUGUUUAUUUGUUAAGCAGCAGCAAGACACUCAGCAUUGUACAAAUCACAGAAUACACACCCUAAGAACGGACCAUGUGAAUGAAAUAGAUACAGUAAACAGAUAUGUGGAUAGAAAAUUUGUGUCCACAUCCGAUCAGCAAUGUGCAAAAAUGGUCCGCGGCUAUCUACAGCUUUGCAGGGCUCUACAAACACGUACUAGGAAGCCCAUAGGAGACAGGGGCUAGUUUCCAGAGACUGAGGUUUAAAAUCCUUCUAGCCAUUUCUAGAAGUUGGCAAAAAGUCAUCCGUCUUUAGGCAGAGCGUUUUGAGCCUCUAAGAAAGGUUGCAUUUUAAAGAGCAAUCAGGCAGCCUACACAGUUAGAAAAUACAUCUGCACAAUAACUUAAAACAUGGGUAACUUGUUUGUCACAUAGCACUGUAACACAGAAAAUUAGCUUCUGCUUUCUUGCAAGGUUUGUAGCCCACCCCUUUGUUUUAACACAAUAAUAUUGCAAGGGGCAGGCUGACAGGAUGUAUGGCUAGCCAUUACAAUGCAUCAUGUCAAAGAUCUGCCAACUAAUAGCUCUGACAAGAUGUAUAACAGCUCCUUCAGUGGCUUUAGGAUGCAUCAUUAGGAGAUGAAUGGAAUCUUGAGAGCAGAGGAUGAUUCAAGCUAUCCUCCUGGCUCGCACACACAACACUCAUACUGCAGCUAUUUUGGCAGCCUGCUUUGACAUUCCCCUUCCCCUAAAGGUUCUGUGUCUGUCUGGGAAUGUUUGUGUU